GCGGCCAUCGUAUAUCGGUAUUACCUUGGCUUCCCAAGCCAAAGAGGCGGGUUCGACUCCCGCUGGCCGCUCCA
rnacentral:tRNA from 2 species